rnacentral:rRNA from 1 species
GACGAACGCUGGCGGCGUGCUUAACACAUGCAAGUCGAACGGAAAGGCCCUGCUUGCAGGGUACUCGAGUGGCGAACGGGUGAGUAACACGUGGGUGAUCUGCCCUGCACUUCGGGAUAAGCCUGUUAAACUGGGUCUAAUACCGGACAGAUGCCAUUUUUAGUGUGAUGGUUGGAAAGUUUUUUCGGUGUAGGGUGAGCUCGCGGCCUAUCAGCUUGUUGGUUGGGUAAUGGACUACCAAGGCGGCGACGGGUAGCCGGCCUGAGUGGGUGGACGGCCACAUUGGGACUGAGAUACGGCACCGGCUGCUACGGGUGGCAGCAGUGGGGAAUACUGCACAAUGGGCGCAAGCCUGAUGCAGAGAGUCCGCGGGGGGGAAGACGGUCUUCGGGUUGAAAACUACUUUCGCUAGGGACGAAGCUUUUUGUGACGGUACCUAGACAAGAAGCACCGGCUAACUACGUG